rnacentral:rRNA from 1 species
AACGCUAGCUACAGGCUUAACACAUGCAAGUCGCGGGGCAGCAUGAAUUUAGCUUGCUAAAUUUGAUGGCGACCGGCGCACGGGUGAGUAACGCGUAUCCAACCUUCCCCUGUCCACGGGACAGCCCGUCGAAAGGCGGAUUAAUACCGUAUGAGGUCACACGAUGGCAUCAGACUGUGACGAAAGGUUUGGCGGACAGGGAUGGGGAUGCGUCCGAUUAGCUUGUUGGCGGGGUAACGGCCCACCAAGGCAACGAUCGGUAGGGGUUCUGAGAGGAAGGUCCCCCACAUUGGAACUGAGACACGGUCCAAACUCCUACGGGAGGCAGCAGUGAGGAAUAUUGGUCAAUGGGCGAGAGCCUGAACCAGCCAAGUAGCGUGCAGGACGACGGCCCUAUGGGUUGUAAACUGCUUUUAUGCGGGGAUAACGUGCACCACGUGUGGUGUAUUGCAGGUACCGCAUGAAUAAGGACCGGCUAAUUCCGUGCCAGCAGCCGCGGUAAUACGGAAGGUCCGGGCGUUAUCCGGAUUUAUUGGGUUUAAAGGAGCGUAGGCCGCUGUUUAAGCGUGUUGUGAAAUGUAGACGCUCAACGUCUGCACUGCAGCGCGAACUGGUUUCCUUGAGUACGCACAAAGUGGGCGGAAUUCGUGGUGUAGCGGUGAAAUGCUUAGAUAUCACGAAGAACUCCGAUUG